rnacentral:lncRNA from 1 species
CAAUGUAGUACUUUUUCAUGAUCUCUCUGGAUGCGAUACUACGAUCUAUCUGCACCAUUUGGCCAAUUUUCUCCUCUAAGGUCAUCCUGCUCAAUAAAUCCUUAAUUCUAGUAUUUAAGGGCUGUUUGGGAUCCUUAUAAGGCAAGUACUCUGCUUCUGCUUUCAUGGCUGCACAGAUGCAGAACAAUGCGAUCCCAAAAGCCAGUAAGGAACCCUUUGCCAUCUUGAGCCUCAGCAUUACCUUCAACAGACAAAAGAGAACAGAAAAUUCUAUUAGAUUCCAAGCAUCCCAUCAAUAAAUCUCACUGAUGUAAACCGUGGCUUUGGAAAACGUUUAGACAACUGAAGUACAAGGAAGCAGCAUUUUCCCAAAUUUUGCCGUUUUAAAUCUGGAGAUGAACUAUUCAAGUAUUUGGAAGAGCAAUUAUUGGACAGGAGAAUAUCUUGGACAGUGGACACACGAAACAUGAAACGUGAACAUGUAUGUCCAUGCGUUUGUUUGACGAAAUGGACUUGUUAAAAAAGCGAAGACGAGUAAAAAAGGAAAUCUUGGGAAAGUAUAAAAUUAUCAAUGUAACACUAUGAUAGUUAGGAAAAUCAAGAUAAACUAUCAAGAAUCUUGAAAAAGGAACCAAAAAGUCCCUCUAAAAAAAAUGGAACCAAAAAGUUUUAUCUGAACGUAUGAGAUGCCCAGGAAAACAGUCCAAUGCUAUUAAAGAAUCAGAGCCUACUAUCACCGAUAGCCACUGAGUGGUGGUCUAUGGCUGCCGAUUUAAGGUAGGGAUGUAACUUACAGAGGAUGCAGCCAAAAUUGCACCCCAGCACACCAACUACUACUAUGCUUUUAGUAGUACAGUGUUUCUUUGUCGCUGAGAGAGAGAGAGAGAGAGAGAGAGAGAGAGAGAGAGAGAGAGUACACAGCUGCAGAUGAAAUGGGAUGUAGAGGGAUGCCAUUUAUAGAAAAACGUUCUGUCAUUUAAUUGGCUUGGUUACCCAUUGAUGCGGAUAUGCCCUCCAUAUUGUGCUGUAAAAGUCUGAUAUUAAGUUUGAUGGAGUUUUUUGCCAAAAUAACACUAUGUUAUUGUUGCCACCUAAUUUAUAGUUUCCAAAAUGAAUUAAAAAUUUAAAAUUUUUUUUAUUAUAGAGGAACAAGAAGAUUGCAUAACUUUUAUAAUUUCCUUAUAAUUAUUUAACAUAAAUUCUGCCAUUAUUGACCUUGCUAUUAUUGGUUUCUGAAUUUCUUAAAAUGAAUCAAACCUAUUGCAUAUAUUUUUUCAAAAAAAAAAUUAAAAAAUACAAAAAUUGCAACAAAAAUUUCAAUAAAAAUUGUAAGCAAUUACAAAUACUUCAAGGUGAUCAUAUUUGUUUAUGUUACCCUUCCUACUUCUUAAAAAGACAAGAGAAUAAUUUUUAUCUGCCUUGAGAUUAUCGAUUUGAGAAGCAUAUUUUUUAGGUGUUGUUAAUAUAAAUAUUGGCUUCUUAGGAUUAUGUUUGACAAAGGAAAAAUAAUUAAACAAAAAAAUGCGAGAAGGUUUAGAAAAAAAUUGGAGAAGACAUUAUAUGGGAAAGAGAAAUGAAAUAUGCCUUUAUCUCCAUCCUAGGACAUAUGCAGCUUAAGUGGCAAAAAAAGGAUCAUAAAAAUAAUAAAAUUUAAAAUUAGGUUACUUUGAGUAUAUGUUUUGGAAGACGAGUUAUUUUGGCAAUAAACUCAAGUUUGAUGCUAGGGUACUGAAAUGCUGGUCCACGUACACUGCAGCCCCAAGUGAAGACAGUAAUGGAACUUUGACGUUUUUGUAAGGUAGGGGAUUCAAACUAGUAAUAAGUUAAUGUAAAAAUAAUUCAAAACGUAUCUCAUAUUUUAUUAAACAAUUUUUUUCUCAAUUUUAAAAUAUUAAUUUUGCAUUUUUAUCAAUAUUUAGUUUCAACCUAAAUUUUCAAUUAUCUUUUAGUCUAAAUUCAUCACGUGAUCCACAUACAGUUAUUUUUAUAUACAAAAAUGUUAGAUCCCACUUUCUUUGUAGCAAAAAAAUAUAGAUUAGCUCAGAUCUUAUUUUUUUGAAAAAAAAUAAAAAUGAUUCAAGUCAAAUCCUAUUUUUUUUGAAGCAAAAUUGAAUAUGGAUUAGGCCAUUUGUUUAAUUACAAAUGAGAUCUAAUCUUUUUGCCCCUUAAAAAAUGACUAUAUGUGAAUCAUGUGAUGAAUUCAAGAUGAAAAAUGGUCGAAAACUUAGAUUUGAAUCAAAUUUUAUCAAUUUGAUUUUAUAAGGAUGUAAAAUUAAUAUUUUUAAAGCGAAUGAUUAAAAAAAUCAUUUGACAAAAUGUGAGAGACAUUUUAAAUAAUUUUCCCAUAACUGAUUUACUUCUCUCAGUAACUGCUCUAUCUUGUACUCUCUCCUUUUUUCUUUUUUUUUGAUACAUUUAUUUAGCUGAUUUCUUUGGUCAUUUGAACAAUGACAAAGCGUAAUACUUGCGUGAUUUUUUUUUUUCUUCUUGGGAAAUUUGGUCGAACACUCAACACGAAUACAAAUCAAGCUAACAACUUCUAGAAAGUUGAGAUUUUGAUAUUCCUAAAAUCCAAACUUAAAUAAUGUACAUAGAUUGUAAUUUUUUGUCAAAAAAUAUUUAUUUAUAUCACAAACAUAUUUUUCAGCACACUUUUUAUUUUUCUAAUUACCUUUUUAUCUCACAUAUAUCACAUCAUAAAAAGUAUUACAAUAAUUAUUAUAAAUAAUAUUUUAAAUAGUUUCCUAUCCAAAAUAAUCUCUUAUCCAAGUGUUACAGUAAUUAUUUAAAAUAAUCUCUUAUCCAAACAUAUAUUUUCUGAAAUUAUGAGUCUGUUUGGAUGACAUGUUUAUUAGGUGUUUAUCUAAAAUUUUAUUAUAUUUAUUUUUUUAAAAAUACUGAUAUAUGUCCAAAACACUCUUUUUUUUUCCAAAUAUCCCCCUUUUUACCUCGCGUGCUACUCGCCAUCCACCGCUGCUACCGGCCUCCGCCGUCAUUACCAUAUUUAGCUCUUUUUUUUUUUCAUUUUAUUAGACCUUCUGGGUAUUUUUGUGUAUUACUAUAGAUGCUGUUUUUUAAAAUUUUAUUUCCUAAAAAGUUACCGAAUAGACCCUAUGUUUAAUUUUAUAUGUAAUCCUAUUGGUGGUUCCCAAUUCGCUUUAGAACAAUUUAACUUAAAAUUUUAUUUGAAUAUGUUUGACAUUGAUCAAUGUACACUCUGUGAGAGGAGUCUUAUAUGGUAUUUGUUUGGAUCAGUGUAUUUGAAUUGACUAAGUUUCAUAUGCAAGUGAGAUUGAUCUACUUUCAUGAGAAUGAUCGUGUUUCCAAAAUUUAUUGUUGAUGUAAGAACUGUGUUGGUAAACGUUCUGUAAAUAAGUUAUUGUUUUAAAGAUAUACUUUGAUAUGUGAUGGUAAUCGGAACUGAAUCCAUCAAUUUUAUUUUAACAUUUUACUACCAAAAAAUAUUAUGACUUUGUUUUCUUUACCCAGAAUAUAUAUAUAUUUUAAAAAAAAAAAAAAAGACGACAAAGAGACAGAGAGACGGGGAAAGGACUGAACUGGGAUUCUUACCAUCAGCAUCCCCUUCAAUUCGCAAACUAAUAGACAACACAUAAAACUCAAUUAGAUAAAUAUACCAGCAACAUAUAUGCACGAGAUUAAAUUGAAGAAAGCAGCAAUUUAGGAAGCUAAAAAUGUAUCCCCUUUUGUUUUCUGGGUUUUUUUUUUUGGGUGGCGGGGAGGGGGGGGUUGUUAAGUAAAAAAUUGGUAAUAGCCAAGUGAUUGUAUUCAAGCAGUCCUUCAAGUUACACGAGUUCUUGGCCAGCGACGUCCACUAGAAAAUAAUCAGAAAAACUGGAAAGCAUUCUGAAGUUUAAUCUAAACAGAAAUGCAAAUUCUUGCACGAACAUCAAAAGCACUGAACAUAAUAGAAGGGAUAGAUUUUAGAGCGAAGAAGUUUUACCAUUUGGGCUCCAUUCCUUUAUUUCAGCAAAUGCUUACAUAUCUAAUCCAUCUAGAAGCUUAUAUUGUCAACCCAAGAAGAUUAGUCCAUGGAAACUUACAGUAGCAGAAAAGAGAUGAUAAUCACACAGUCCAACGGUGGCACUUCUUCUCCGGUGAUGAUUCUUGCUUGGAGCUGGCCAAACACCCUCGCAAACAACACCACCAAACGGGUUUGCUGUUAAUGCGGAAGAGCAUUGAAGUUUGGAAGAAUAGAAGAUUAAAAAGACGAUUAGAGCAGCAAGUUCAGCCAAACGUUUUUAGUAAAAAAUAUUUGAGUGUGGUAGCUUGUUCCGUGGGCAAUUUAUAAACAGCACCAAACCAAGUACUGCUAGAUAUAAAGAAUAAGAGCCACUAUUUGCACUCCGAUCCCUGAGAUUUUCAAUAAUUAGAAAACACCACUCUAUACCUGGCUCGACAGAGUACACAUGACUGGUCCACCACGAUUUUUCUUUUCUUUUCUUUUCUUUUAUUUUUUCCCCACAGGCGAUCGGUCCCCCAUUUUGUGCCACGUAUUUGGAUAUUUCGACUUGUUUAGUGGAAAAAGUCGGCAAGUAAACCUUCACUGGUAGUUUGGGAGUUGAGGAUAGAAAAGAAAAGAAGAGAGAGGUUAAGUUAUGAGAGAAAAUAAAGCAUAAGAAAAGAAGAGAAGAGAUUUUAAUGUUAUUUAAAAAUUUAUGAAAAAAAGAAAAUAAUUUUGAACACAUUGAUCAAUAAAUAUUCCAUUCAAUAGUUUUUUAAGAAUAAAAUAGACAAUUUAAAAAAUUUUUGUAGCCUUUCCAUAUUGUUUCUUUGUUUUCUGCCUGAUUUGGGAUGGAAAUUUUUUUUAACUAUAACGGGUCUUUUCUUCCUCCCAAAUCAGUCAAAUUCUUUUACUUUUUUAUUUCACUAAAACUUUUAAACAUGAAAAAUACCUAUUUUUCUCUUCAACACUUUUCUUUUAUAUUCAAAUCUCAUCUCCCAACCUAGGCAUCAGAACUCAACCCCGAGAACUUUUUGUUUCCAAACAAAUAAAUAUAAAUAUACAGCAUAUCUCUUGAAAGUCUAACAUGGUAAAUGAUCAUAAAUAAUUGUUAUACAGCAUAAAUAAUUGUUAUUAGGUGUAUAAAAAAAGCACCAACCAACCUAAAGAGGGAAGAGGCGUGGGGAUUAGAACAAUUUGAAUUUCGACCAAUUAUAAACCAAUGUUAUAAUAGUGACCUGCCUUCUGUCCUUUGUCCAAGUAAAGAGUCAGAUAAACCGUGGCCCACUGGUCCAUCCGCACAAGCGUAUCGCCAGCUGGAACGCGACUACAAGAUUGCCUCUUCUCUUAAUUGACAAUUUAAGCGAUAGAUUUUGGACAUAUUGCAGUGAUUCGAUCAGAAACAUCGUAGUCCGCAUAACUAACGGCACUCGGGCGGAGCAAAUAUCUCUCAGGGUGCAAUUGCACAUUUGCAGCCCCUCAAUUUUUUUUGAAAGCUAUAGAAUGGCCUAUAAAGAAAAUCUAAAUUUUUUUUAAUAGCUUUACUCUAUACACAUUAUCCACCUACUAUAUACGCAAGAAUUUACAUCUUGAAACCUCAUGCAUAAUUUUAAUUAAUAGUAUGUAAUUUCAUACUAUUAGAUAAUUUGAUAACUACUGCAAAUAAUAAAUAACAAGUUGCAGCAAUUUUCCAAAAAAAAAAAAUUGUGUAUUUAGAGCAAAUAUUUAGUUGUACUAAAAAUUUAUAAACCAACACGUUGUAAGUAUAAACUAAUGUUGUUAUCCCUCGAAUAAAGUUCCUGACUCAACCACUGGGUAAAUCAUAGCUAUGGUAAUUUUUUUAUUUUAGUGUGUCAGUAACAUCAUUCGAACACGAUAACAUCAUUCGAACACGAUAAUCAUUUCUGUGCAAUUUGAAAAAUUUUCACGGAUGACUUAAUCUUACUUAAUUUAGUUAAUAUUUUUAAAAUAUUAAAACCACAAAUGUUCGAUAAAGAGCUGCUAGUUAUUUGCUUAGUUUCAUACAUAUAUACACACACACACACAUAAACCUACAAGUGACACAAGUGUGUUUGGACAGGAGAUUAUUUGUCCAAAUAUAUUUGCUUACAUCACCAUUACAAUUUUCAAUAUAUUUUUUUAAUUUUUCAAUUACUUUUUUAUCUCAUAUACAUCAUAUCACAAAAAGUGUUACAGUAACGCGGAUUUGGUACCAUUUUUAGCCGAUAAUGCGGUAGAGAUUUUGUCAACCUAGAUGAGUCAUGGCUGACUGGAUUUUAGAUUUCCACGUCUACUAGUGAAGAUUGAGGAUCGCAGAUGAACUAGCAUCUCUUAGCUUAUCGGCUACCAGAGACCUUGCAAGAGUAGGUGCCUCCACUCACGAGUGGCCGGCCCACGCCCAUUAUGUCCGAGCCCACCACCCACAUUGAAGUAUAAACUCAACCCGCCAGCCGCAAACACUGACGUGUACAUAAACCCACCGGUUCUUUUCUUUUCUUUUCUUUAAAAAAAAAAAAAAAAAGAGAUAAGGCCACCUUGAAAUUUUCCUUUUCUUUUUUUCCAUUGGCACAAUUGUCCCAUUAAUUAAUGUUACUCACGUCAUGAUUUUUUUAUUUUUUUUUUUGUGUUGGUGCAUCAGUAACAUGAUCUCUUCCACAAUGGUUUCUCUGAUUUAUAUCUGAUUCAGCACUACAGGUUUUAAAGCUUGGGCAUUGGAUGGAUGAUGCUUAGCUAAAAAAGCUUUCCACCUUAAAAGCAAAUUAGUAAAACUAUACUAGAAUGAAAAUACACUUCACAUCACUGGCACCAAUUUCAUCAACUAGUAGCCUGUUAUUUCUUUUUUUCCACCAAAAAUAUGUUUGAAUCAGAAAAUUUUCUCACUCAGGAUUUCAGUUGCCCUUCUUGGCUUCUGUGUUCAGGCCAUAUCCAAAUGGGUACAACGGGUCAUAAUGUCUGUCCCCGACGUUCAUGGGCAGUUGAUCAACCGUCUUGAACCAUGUAUGAGGAAGCUUGCCCGUGAAACCAUAGUCACCAAAUAAAACAUCAGCAACCCCUUGGCCCUCAGUUCCUGGAAGCCAAGCAGCUACAAGUGCAUCAAUUCGAUUCACGUAUGGCUGAAUGACGACAGGCCGGCCGGUGAUCAGAACUACAACGCAUCUCACAGACCCACAAACGUUAGUAAUGGUACUAGGGCCUGGUUCAGGAAUCGUCAAGUUUAAGCUGUCCCCGACUGUUUCAGCAUAUGGUGGCUCUCCCACCACAACAACCGCAUAGGAGAACUUGUUGGACUUGACGAAUUCUGCAUCAGGUUUUUCGCUGUACACAACUUCUGUUGUUGGAUCAACUGCAUUUCUUAUACCAGUCAGGAUUGUGGUACCUGUUUACCAGAAAAGAAUAAGUUGGAGUCAGUUACCAGUACGAAUAAAUGCCAUCACUGCUACUGCUAUCAGCUAAAAUGAUAACCAAAGAACCUUUUGUGAUGUUGCCGCUGAGGCCUUGCCACUCAAUUGUCCACCCACCACAUUGGUUACCAAUAUUAUCAGCGUGGGUUCCUGCAACUAGAAUGCGUUUCGCUUUCUUGGGGAGGGGUAGCAAUGGCUUGGCUGCGGAUUCGCCAUUCUUCAACAGCACAAGAGAUUUCCUCACUGCUUCUCUUGCCAGGUCUCUGUGCUCCUGUUAACGUUAAAAAAGUGUUUAAACUUGGGGCCAAGUGAUCUCAACUUCUCUUUCAUCUUUUCUAUUCAAUCCGCUCUUUGUAAAUCGACACCCACUUACCUGCAACCCAACGUAUUUGGUCAUGCUAUAGUCGGCCAAUGGGUGCUCAAAGAUGCCCAUCGUGAACUUCACCCUCAAAAUCCUCUUCACUGCAUCAUCAAUUCGGCUCAUUGGAACAAAAUUGUUCUUAACCAGGAAGGUUAGACCAUCAAUGAAUUCUGUAUAGUUGUAUGGAAUCAUCAUCUGCAAUAUCCGGAAAAUAACACAAGUCCUUCAGCAUUUAGCAGAGUAGAUUAAUAUUAUAAGCUUGUUAAGCAAAUCAGACUGACCAUGUCAAUUCCGGCGUUGACACCAGCGACAAUUGAGUACGUGUAAUUUGCAUGAGGAGGAGAGGUAAUCCUGUCAAUGCCUUGCCAAUCUGAGAUGACAAAUCCCUGAAUAAUAAUUCAGAACUUAAUUAAUCCUGUGCUUGAUUGAAGAUGUCGAAUGAGGAACUGGAAGCAGGAAGGAGUACUUUUUACUUUCGAAACUGAUUAGUUUACCCGAAAUCUGAGUGUGUUCUUAAGAAAACCAGUGAUCAUUUCACGAUUAGCAUGCAUCUUUAUUCCAUUCCAGCUUGAAUAGGAGAUCAUGACAGUCGAUACACCCUUGAUAAUUGCAUUAUAAUAGCCGGUCAUAUGGAUGCUAAGCAAACCAUGCCUGCUGAUCACUGUAUUAUUCUCAUUGAUGCCUUCAGUCGUUCCUCCAUCACCAACAAAGUGCUUAGCACAUGCAGCAAUGUUCUUUCUGCCAAAAAAAAGAUUAAUCAAGAAUGCAAACUCCGAAGGUACAGGGUAUACAAUUUCUGGGAAUUUAUUAUCUAUUCCUAGAAUAAUAUUUUAAAAAUUAUACAGAUUUUAGGUCGAAAGGAGUAAUUUUCAUGUAUCUUCUAAUUGAUACCGGGUAGAGCUAAACAACCUCCCAAGUCCAAGUUUUGAAGCUUUGAACGGUCAAUUGCACUUUCUAACCUUUUUGUAGGCGUAUGGUUAGAUAUCUUAUUUACUAGUAGACGUUCUUUGUUACCCCUGUUUUAAAGUUCAAUCUGGUCCACAUCAGUUCUUGACGAAAAAAGCAAAAGCUAACAUCCAACUGAUGUUGCUUUCCCAUGAAUGCUAGCGUGCAAUCUUCCAUCAAUAUAUCUCUUUCAUCCCCUUGGAACAAGAAGAUUUUAGCACCCAAAACUUGAAUUUUAAGGAUGGCAAAUGUUGACUUUGGAUUCUUGAAAAGGGCAACACGACUUGAAUAGCUUGAAUAAGACGAAGGAUAUUUCCAAUUAUCCACAAAAGGGCAGCUAAUUGAAGUUUAUGAUAUAUUACUAGUACUUUUCACACUGGAUCCAGGAUUUAUAUGUGCUUCAGAAAGAAAGACAUCGUUGUUCAUUACUUUAUGAAUGAAUCAAGAAAAUGCUGGAAUAAGAGGAAUUUGCAAUACGUACUGGCCAGCAAGAUAAGGAACCCCUAAGCGGCCAUUGGAAGGGAUUUCUCCUUGUAAUCCCGGGAUAAUCUCAGUCAUUGCUCUCACAAUUUUGGGAUCUUCACUGUAGCUUUCAUAACACCGGCCCCAUCUGGGAUCUCUGCAGACCUAAUCACAGAUCGGAAAGGGCACUUAUUUUGAUUGUUUCAAUGUACUCUGAGCUGCAUAACAAUUAAUGGAUCACAGAAGGAGUUAAAUUACCGCAAUGCAAGGUGCAAAAGCAUAUUGAAUGCCUGUAGCUCUCACUUCAAGGGCAGUUGCAGCUCCAAUCUUCUUCACUAGUGCAGGGUCCCUGCUCAAGCCGGAAACUCAGAGAGUUUAAUUGCCACAUUCAAUUAAAGAUUCAAUAUUGAAAAGAUAGAUAUCAAAUUAUGCCAAAAAGAGCCGUAUUCCUGCUAAAUCCCUCCCCGUCCUUCCCCCCUAGACAAGAACUUCAUCUGCAGCUUUUUCAUAAAACAACAAACAAAAUAGUGGACUUCAGCUACUACAAUACAAGAGUGCGUUUUGGAGUACUGACCAAAUUAUAAGCAAAUAACUCACGUCAAAUAAUUGUAAUGCGAACUACUAGCCUCCUAAAUAGUGGUCGUAAUCAAAGGAGAUGUGGAUUAAUCUAGAAACUUAAUCACAGCCAAAUGGUCGUAAUCAAAUGAGAUGGGGAGGUUGUUAGAAUAGCUGGAAAGAUCCAUAUACCGAUAAUCUACCACGUACAAACUUACCUGGUGGCCCCAAGACCAAUAUUAUGAGGAAAAACGGUAGCCUUGUAGACGGUGUUGUGGCCAUGAACAGCGUCAAUCCCAUAAAUCAUUGGUAUCCCAAGACGCGUAGACAAUGAACCCUUUUGGAAAUCGUUUACCAUGUCCACCCAUGUCUCCGGCGAAGCCUGCUUAGCUGGAACACUCCCUCCGCCGCUCAGUACACUCCCUGCAAAUAACUAACAUUUUAAUCCCAAAGAAAAAGAAAAACGACAACACAUAACGAGCUCUUCUAAUUAACUGUGACUAGUAGAUAACAGAAUCUAAUCGCAAAAAUCAGUUUUUUCAAACUGCAGAUUAUUGAUGCAUACCGAUGUAGUACUUUUUCAUGAUCUCUCCGGAGGCGACACUACGAUCUAUCUGUACCAUUUGGCCAAUUUUCUCCUCUAAGGUCAUCCUGCUCAAUAAAUCCUUAAUUCUAGUAUUUAUGGGCUGUUUGGGAUCCUUAUAAGGUAAGUACUCUGCUUCUGCUUUCAUGGCUGCACAGAAGCAGAACAAUGCGAUCCCAAAAGCCAG